rnacentral:tRNA from 1 species
GGGGUUACAGCUUAGUAGUAGAGCGAGACCUUAGCAUGCGUGAGGUCCUGGGUUCAAUCCCCAGUACCUCCA